UUGAUGACUCUCGGCAACGGAUAUCUUGGCUCUUGCAUCGAUGAAGAACGCAGCGAAAUGCGAUAAGUGGUGUGAAUUGCAGAAUCCCGUGAACCAUCGAGUCUUUGAACGCAAGUUGCGCCCGAGGCCAUCAGGCUAAGGGCACGCCUGCUUGGGCGUCGCGC
rnacentral:rRNA from 2 species